UACAGAGGGGGCAAGCGUUAUUCGGAAUUACUGGGCGUAAAGCGCGCGUAGGCGGCUUUGCAAGUCGGGUGUGAAAUCCCCAGGCUUAACCUGGGAACUGCAUUCGAGACUGCAUUGCUAGAGUAUGGGAGAGGGAAGUGGAAUUUCCGGUGUAGCGGUGAAAUGCGUAGAUAUCGGAAGGAACAUCAGUGGCGAAAGCGACUUCCUGGACCAAUACUGACGCUCAUGUGCGAAAGCGUGGGGAGCAAACAGG
rnacentral:rRNA from 1 species